GCAAGAAUACAAUUGUGGUCGGCUCUUGGUUCAUGAUACGGCGUCUUGCUGUCUUUGAACAGUUUAAACCUUAUAUAAUAUACAAAUGUACAAUGGAUAGAGCCAUUUUGCUAUAAGCAUUAAGCAAUAAAUAUGUCGCAAAUAUAUCAAGAGGGCGUCUCAUUUUUACGCAUGCACUAAGUGCUGUUAUCAGGCUUAUUGUAACCUACU